GUGAGGAAUAUUGGUCAAUGGAGGCAACUCUGAACCAGCCAUGCCGCGUGCAGGAAGAAUGCCCUAUGGGUUGUAAACUGCUUUUAUUUGGGAAUAAACCCCUCUACGUGUAGGGGGCUGAAGGUACCAAAGGAAUAAGGACCGGCUAACUCCGUGCCAGCAGCCGCGGUAAUACGGAGGGUCCGAGCGUUAUCCGGAAUCAUUGGGUUUAAAGGGUGCGCAGGCGGUUUUGUAAGUCAGUGGUGAAAUCCCGUAGCUCAACUACGGAACUGCCAUUGAUACUGCAGAACUUGAAUACAGUUGAAGUAGGCGGAAUGUGUAGUGUAGCGGUGAAAUGCUUAGAUAUUACACAGAACACCGAUAGCGAAGGCAGCUUACUAAACUGAGAUUGACGCUCAUGCACGAAAGCGUGGGGAGCGAACAGGAUUAGAAACCCGGGUAGUCC
rnacentral:rRNA from 1 species